rnacentral:rRNA from 1 species
AUUGCAGAACACAUUGAACAUCGACAUCUUGAACGCAAAUGGCGGCCCCGGGUCCAUCCCGAGGCCACGCCCGUCUGAGGGUCGGCUAGUC